rnacentral:rRNA from 1 species
CUCCGGUUGAUCCUGCCGGACCCGACUGCUAUCAGAGUGGGACUAAGCCAUGCGAGUCGACGUAGCAAUGCGUGGCGAACGGCUCAGUAACACGUAGUCAACAUGCCCAGGGGACGUGGAUAACCUCGGGAAACUGAGAAUAAACCACGAUAGGUCACGAUUUCUGGAAUGGAUCAUGGCCUAAAUCUACAUGGCCCCUGGAUUGGACUGCGGCCGAUCAGGCUGUUGGUGAGGUAAUGGCCCACCAAACCUAUAACCGGUACGGGCUCUGAGAGGAGAAGCCCGGAGAUGGGCACUGAGACAAGGGCCCAGGCCCUAUGGGGCGCAGCAGGCGCGAAACCUCUGCAAUAGGCGAAAGCCUGACAGGGUUACUCUGAGUGAUUUCCGCUAAGGGGAUCUUUUGGCACCUCUAAAAAUGGUGCAGAAUAAGGGGUGGGCAAGUCUGGUGUCAGCCGCCGCGGUAAUACCAGCACCCCGAGUGGUCGGGACGAUUAUUGGGCCUAAAGCAUCCGUAGCCGGUUCUGCAAGUCUUCCGUUAAAUCCAGCCGCUCAACGGAUGGGCCGCGGAGGAUACUACAGGACUAGGAGGCGGGAGAGGCAAGCGGUACUCAGUGGGUAGGGGUAAAAUCCUUUGAUCCAUUGAAGACCACCAGUGGCGAAGGCGGCUUGCCAGAACGCGCUCGACGGUGAGGGAUGAAAGCUGGGGGAGCAAACCGGAUUAGAUACCCGGGUAGUCCCAGCUGUAAACGAUGCAGACUCGGUGAUGGGCUAGCCUUGUGCCAGCCCAGUGCCGCAGGGAAGCCGUUAAGUCUGCCGCCUGGGGAGUACGGUCGCAAGACUGAAACUUAAAGGAAUGGCGGGGGAGC